GGUUUAUAAGUGUAUAAUGUUCAGUGUACAAAAUUCAGUCUGGUAAACUUAUUAUAUUGUGCUGAUUUAGAUUUUUUUUUUAUUUGGAGAGGUAUGCUUCGAUUUGGGCAAUCGAGAAUAAUUCCAACUCGAAAAUGCAAAAUUUGGUGGCAUAUCAGAUUCUUUUCUCUCUGGUUUCUCUCUUUGCUCUUGUGAAACUUACUGACUGGUAACUAAGUCUACUGUACACCCCCGGAAUUUUGCUUUUAUGUCGUUCCAUUUUCUAUGAGCUCACAGAGGGAUAAAAAUCUAGGCUUCAGGUCGAACAAUGAAAAUGAGGUCCAUGUUAUUGAGUCUAUGGACAGCUUGGGUCACCGAUGAUAAAGAAUUUUCAUAAAGAGGUUCUAGGUCUAGGUUAAUUAGGCCUAAUGGUUGAGCUGCUUCUUGCUUGGAAUGCACUAUAAGUUUGGUGUUCUUUGUCAAAAUGGUAUGCAUUACUCCUAGAACUACGGUAUAUCGCCAAAUUUUAGUAGCAGAUACAAAUGAUCAAAAACUUCGGGUUGGACUCACCUUUCAAACUCGCUUUGCAUGUGGAGGGUGUUGAAAGAGCUUACAUACACACAGUUAGACUUAUCUCACAUUGCUCAUCUAAGCCAACCAAGCUUGGUUAAUGAAUUCUAGAGGCUACUCCACCUAUUACCAAUUGGUUUUAGGUCGGAACCCUCCAAGAAAUCUAACAGGUUGCACUCUCACUAAACCGAUGAUGCACAUGAGGUUUGUAACCAGACACCAUGCUCCACAACUGAUGGUCAGGGAGACCAACUCUGUUGACAAUGAUUAUAUGACAACCCUUUUCUUUUGAGUUUUGAGUACUUUAUGGCAAUUGUCCGAUCUGAUUCUCGUAUAGGUAGCAUCUGGUCUAUACUUAAUCUGGUGUUUAGCUCUAAUACAACGCUCUGCCUCUCCAAAAUUCGAAGUGACUAACGGUGCAGUUUUUAGCUUUGAUACAAAGGUCUGAUUCUGUAAAAUUCAAAGUGACGACAGCCACUGGUUUUGAGGAGGGUAAUUCCAUUUUUUUGGCCUAUGUGAAAAACGUGGACCAUAUCGUGGCGAUUACCCUUGCCAACGAUGGAGUAAGAACUCACAGUUAAAUUAGGAUUAGAGUAUUCACUGAAACCAUGAUCUACGGUCGGGUGCCAAGUGUAUAUUUUAAGACGUUUAGGCAAGCCUCCUGAUUGGCAACACUUUGUGGGUAUAAUCACUCUUAUUGUGAUAAACUUGACGAUUAGUUUCAUUGAAUAAAACAAUGCAGGAAAUGCUGCUGCCGCUCUCAUGGCUCGUCACGCUCCCAAAGGCAAGGUGGCUGUGUAUGUAUGCACAAGAGUGCUACGACUAGCCACGGUCAAAUUCAAUGUUCAAAUCACAGAUCCAAUUGGAUCGUCUGAAGCAACAGUGUUUCCUGAGGUUACAGGACAAUUCUAUGCAAUUACUCAUCCCAAAUAGCACCGAAUGCAGCUGGUGAAGCCAGAAACAACUUCUACUCCCAUUGCUCCACAAGUUAGCUGAAUUCAAAAAGUGCCACGUGACAAUUAAGGCCUACAUGUGCAAAACCUAUGCAAGAAUCUGCCAGUGCAGAUUCAAAGUUCAUUCAAUCUCCAGCGAAGACACUGAUGAGGAUUUGUGACCAAUUUUCAAAUAGCCGAAUAGGUCGCAGUGCUAUGAUGCUUUGGAUCAAAAUCAAUGAAGCAAAAGCUUGCCAAAUUCGUAAACCCACAUUCUUCCAAUGAGCUGCGCCAUAACGAGGCACCACAAUAACAUUGGACCAGUACUUCUGUUUCUUUUCUUCUUUCUCAUAUCGAGGCAACCUCCAAAGGUAUUUUAAGUUAGUUAGAAACUUUUUCACUUGUAA